GACCUCAAAUCAGGUGGGACUACCCGCUGAACUUAAGCAUACCAAUAAGCGGAGGAAAAGAAACUAACAAGGAUUCCCCUAGUAACGGCGAGUGAAGAGGGAAUAGCCCAAAUUUGUAAUCUGGCUCUUUCAGAGCCCGAGUUGUAAUCUCGAGAACUGUUUUCCGUGCCGGACCAUGUACAAGUCUGUUGGAAUAUAGCUUCAUAGAGGGUGAGAAUCCCGUACAUGACAUGGACUACCGGUGCUUUGUGAUACAGUCUCUAAGAGUCGAGUUGUUUGGGAAUGCAGCUCAAAAUGGGUGGUAAAUUCCAUCUAAGGCUAAAUAUUGGCGAGAGACCGAUAGCGAACAAGUACCGUGAGGGAAAGAUUAAAAGCACUUUGGAAAGAAAGUUAACAGUACGUGAAAUUGUUGAAAGGGAAACGAUUGAAGUCAG
rnacentral:rRNA from 1 species